CUAAGAAUAUUCCGCAAUGGACGGAAGUCUGACGGAGCGACGCCGCGUGGAUGACGAAGGCCGAAAGGUUGUAAAGUUCUUUUGCUGGGGAAGAAUAACCGCAGGAGGGAAUGCCUGUGGGAUGACAAGAACCGGCGAAUAAGCCCCGGCCAACUACGUGCCAGCAGCCGCGGUAACACGUAGGGGGGCGAGCGUUGUUCGGAAUUACUGGGCGUAAAGGGCAUGUAGGCGGCUUGGAAAGCCUGGCGUGAAAGUCUGCAGCUUAACUGCAGGGGUGCGCUGGGAACUGCUGAGCUUGAGUGACGGAGAGGGAGCUGGAAUUCCUGGUGUAGGGGUGAAAUCUGUAGAUAUCAGGAAGAACACCGAUGGCGAAGGCAAGCUCCUGGCCGAUGACUGACGCUGAGGUGCGAAAGUGUGGGGAUCAAACAGGAUUAGAUACCCUGGUAGUCCACACAGUCAACGAUGUGCACUAGGUGCUGGGGCGGUAGCUUCGGUGCCGGAGCGAACGUGGUAAGUGCACCGCCUGGGGAGUAUGCUCGCAAGGGUGAAACUCAAGGAAUUGACGGGGUC
rnacentral:rRNA from 1 species